GUAAGACUGGGAUAACUCCGGGAAACCGGGGCUAAUACCGGAUGGUUGUUUGAACCGCAUGGUUCAGACAUAAAAGGUGGCUUCGGCUACCACUUACAGAUGGACCCGCGGCGCAUUAGCUAGUUGGUGAGGUAACGGCUCACCAAGGCGACGAUGCGUAGCCGACCUGAGAGGGUGAUCGGCCACACUGGGACUGAGACACGGCCCAGACUCCUACGGGAGGCAGCAGUAGGGAAUCUUCCGCAAUGGACGAAAGUCUGACGGAGCAACGCCGCGUGAGUGAUGAAGGUUUUCGGAUCGUAAAGCUCUGUUGUUAGGGAAGAACAAGUGCCGUUCAAAUAGGGCGGCACCUUGACGGUACCUAACCAGAAAGCCACGGCUAACUACGUGCCAGCAGCCGCGGUAAUACGUAGGUGGCAAGCGUUGUCCGGAAUUAUUGGGCGUAAAGGGCUCGCAGGCGGUUUCUUAAGUCUGAUGUGAAAGCCCCCGGCUCAACCGGGGAGGGUCAUUGGAAACUGGGGAACUUGAGUGCAAAAGAGGAGAGUGGAAUUCCACGUGUAGCGGUGAAAUGCUUAGAGAUGUGGAGGAACACCAAUGGCAAAGGCGACUCUCUGGUCUGUAACUGACGCUGAGGAGCGAAAGCGUGGGGAGCGAACAGGAUUACAUACCCUGGUAGUCCACGCCGUAAAC
rnacentral:rRNA from 1 species